ACGGGAGGCAGCAGUGAGGAAUAUUGGUCAAUGGGCGCAAGCCUGAACCAGCCAAGUAGCGUGCAGGAUGACGGCCCUAUGGGUUGUAAACUGCUUUUGUACGGGAAUAAAGUGACCUACGUGUAGGUUUUUGCAUGUACCGUAAGAAUAAGGACCGGCUAAUUCCGUGCCAGCAGCCGCGGUAAUACGGAAGGUCCGGGCGUUAUCCGGAUUUAUUGGGUUUAAAGGGAGCGUAGGCCGUGCUUUAAGCGUGUUGUGAAAUGUAGGCGCCCAACGUCUGCACUGCAGCGCGAACUGGAGCACUUGAGUACGCAGGAAGUAGGCGGAAUUCGUCGUGUAGCGGUGAAAUGCUUAGAUAUCUCGAAGAACUCCGAUUGCGAAGGCAGCUUGCUGGGGCGCAACUGACACUGAGGCUCGAAGGUGCGGGUAUCAAACAGGAUUAGAUACCCUGGUA
rnacentral:rRNA from 1 species